UGGGGAAUUUUGCGCAAUGGGCGAAAGCCUGACGCAGCAACGCCGCGUGCGGGAUGAAGGCUCUCGGGUCGUAAACCGCUUUCAGCAGGGAUGAAAUUGACAGUACCUGCAGAAGAAGCCCCGGCUAAAUACGUGCCAGCAGCCGCGGUAAUACGUAUGGGGCAAGCGUUAUCCGGAUUCAUUGGGCGUAAAGAACGCGUAGGCGGCUUGUUAAGUUAGAUGUGAAAUCCGGGGGCUUAACCCGCGGUCUGCAUCUAAAACUGGCAGGCUUGAGUCUGGUAGAGGAAAGUGGAAUUCCCAGUGUAGCGGUGAAAUGCGCAGAUAUUGGGAGGAACACCAGUGGCGAAGGCGGCUUUCUGGGCCACGACUGACGCUGAGGCGCGAAAGCUAGGGGAGCAAACA
rnacentral:rRNA from 1 species